rnacentral:lncRNA from 1 species
CCACAACGAAUCACAAUUUUAAUAACUAAUCUAAUCUAAUAUAAUAUUUGCUCUUAAUUUGCUCUGAUUUAACUAUUGUAUUGUAAAGGGAAUAGUCCACAUUUAUAAAGUGCAUACGCCACCAUUGAAAAAGUUAAUUUUGAAUCUAAAUUUGAUUUUAUUUGCAACAAUUUUAUAUUAAACUAUUAAUUUGCUCAUGAUAGUUUGUAAAAGAAGUUUGUAUCCCUUGCAUGCUACGUUACUUACUAAUUUAAUGUAUGUGACUUUUGUAAUGGAUAUUAAUGUAAGAUAUAUUUCGAACUUUACUUUUAUUUGAAUUUUUUAUUUUAAUAUGAUUAACUCAAAAUCGAAAAAAAAAUGCAUUAGUUAUUCGGGGAUCGGGGACCCUCGGGGAUCCCCUGUUAUUAUUCGGGGAGUGGAUGAAGAUUCUCUCAAGUAAUUCUGACAGGGACGGGGUCAUACGCAAAUAUCGAGGAUGGGUAAUCCCCUGUUAUUAUUCGGGGAGUGGAUGAAGAUUCUCUCAAGUAAUUCUGACAGGGACGGGGUCAUACGCAAAUAUCGAGGAUGGGUACGGAGAGAUUGGUCCCCUCCCCUCCCCUCCCCUCCCCAUUGCCAUUCCUAAUUCUUAGCCCACCCCACCUCGCAAAUACUCUGGAAUAGUCACAUUGUUAAGAUAUAAUUUUGGAUAAAAUAAAUCAACAUGCACAUUUAUUAUGCGACUAAUUUCGCCAUAAUCUAGACUUUUGAAGAUGAGGAUGAAUGAGACAGUUGAAAAAGAAAAAGGUCAUUGAGAGAUUUUUGUUGGUAUUAGAACUUAUUCAAUGUAAUGGUUGAAAAAGGAAUAGAAUCUUGGUUCCGCUGAAAACGGAAAUAAAAGGAAAAGAUGGAAUUCAUGAAUAAUUUUAGUGUGAAUUUAAAAAGUAAAAAAAAAAUCAUUGUGCUAUUAUUUAUAAUGAGUAAUGAUUUUAUCAGGUGACAUUAUUUGGUUAUGGUAAGUGGUAAGUUAUAUUAUCACGGUAUCACCGGGUGUUGUUUGACUAAUUUACAAAUUUAAUAUUAUUAAUAAAUAAUCAUACAAUUGUGUCACGUAUCUAAAUACUCAUUAUAUAGUAGUAUGAAAUUGCUCACUAAAUUAUUUUCUUUAUUAUAAUAUUACAUAAAAUAAGUUAUAUACGAGAUACAUACGCUUAAUAAGAACAAAUAUAGAAGUUGAAAGGAGUAUAGCUGUUUUUAGUUAGAAAAUGGUGAAUCCCUUUUUGCUUUAAGAGAUAGCAUUAUGUUGAGUAAGAAAGCACUAUGUGAAUUUUAAUUAUGAAUUGAUUAAUUAUUAUUAAAAGGCCGGCAGAGAAGAAAUACUAUAUUUUUAAAAGUAAUGGGAAUGGAGACAAACAAGAAACUGUGAUUCCUUUUCAGAAUUGCAUAAUUUUAGCCUAAACCUAUGGGCAUAUAUAAUUUAAUAUUAAUAAAGAUGAUUUAAACUCAUCAGUCAAUCAUGAUGAUGGCCUUGUGAAUUCAUAUUAUAGAAUAGAAGGAUAAUGACAUUUGGGUCCUCUUAUAUAUUAUCUUUAUUACUUAGGUUUUUUUUUAUAAGAUCUUUAUUACUGGGGUUCUUAAUAAGUUUUUAAUAACUCAUUUCAUUUCACUUAAGGAAUGAGCACUAUAUAAAGGGUUAACACAUUAAGAGUAAGUUUGGUAUAUUAUAUUAUAUUAUGCUGUAUUAUAUUAUUUUAAUACAUGUGUAUU